GGUUGACCUCGAAUCAGGUAGGAAUACCCGCUGAACUUAAGCAUAUCAAUAAGCGGAGGAAAAGAAACCAACAGGGAUUGCCUCAGUAACGGCGAGUGAAGCGGCAACAGCUCAAAUUUGAAAUCUGGCCUUGUGCCCGAGUUGUAAUUUGUAGAGGAUGCUUUAGGCGCGGUGCCUUCCGAGUUCCCUGGAACGGGACGCCACAGAGGGUGAGAGCCCCGUAUGGUCGGAUGCCAAACCACUAUAAAGCUCCCUCGACGAGUCGAGUAGUUUGGGAAUGCUGCUCAAAAUGGGAGGUAAAUUUCUUCUAAAGCUAAAUACCGGCCAGAGACCGAUAGCGAAAAAGUAGAGUGAUCGAAAGAUGAAAAGCACUUUGAAAAGAGGGUUAAACAGCACGUGAAAUUGUUGAAAGGGAAGCGCUUGUGACCAGACCUGCGCCCUGGGGAUCAUCCGGCGUUCUCGCCGGUGCACUCCGCCGGGCUGCAGGCCAGCAUCGGUUUCUCUAGGGGGAUAAAAGCUCCGGGAACGUGGCUCCUUAGGGAGUGUUAUAGCCCGUUGUACAAUACCCUUGGGGGGACCGAGGUACGCGCUCCGCAAGGAUGCUGGCGUAAUGGUCAUCAGCGACCCGUCUUGAAACACGGACCAAGGAGUCAAGCAUUAGGGCGAGUGUUUGGGUGUAAAACCCGCACGCGAAAUGAAAGUGAACGUAGGUGAGAGCUUCGGCGCAUCAUCGACCGAUCCUGAUGUUCUCGGAUGGAUUUGAGUAAGAGCCUUACCGCUUGGACCCGAAAGAUGGUGAACUAUGCCUGUAUAGGGUGAAGCCAGAGGAAACUCUGGUGGAGGCUCGCAGCGGUUCUGACGUGCAAAUCGAUCGUCAAAUAUGGGCAUGGGGGCGAAAGACUAAUCGAACUAUCUAGUAGCUGGUUACCGCCGAAGUUUCCCUCAGGAUAGCAGUGUUGUUUUCAGUUUUAUGAGGUAAAGCGAAUGAUUAGGGACUCGGGGGCGCUAUUUUGCCUUCAUCCAUUCUCAAACUUUAAAUAUGUAAGAAGCCCUUGUUACUUUGUUGAACGUGGGCCUUCGAAUGCAGCAACACUAGUGGGCCAUUUUUGGUAAGCAGAACUGGCGAUGCGGGAUGAACCGAACGCGGGGUUAAGGUGCCAGAGUGGACGCUCAUCAGACACCACAAAAGGCGUUAAUACAUCUUGACAGCAGGACGGUGGCCAUGGAAGUCGGAAUCCGCUAAGGACUGUGUAAGUUUUCCCCCUCUCUUUCGAUUAUAAUGAACAGUGAUAGUGACAAGCAUGCUAAUACGCCUGACAGGUAACAACUCACCUGCCGAAUGUAUUAGCCCUGAAAAUGGAUGGCGCUCAAGCGUCCCACCCAUACCCCGCCCUCAGGGUAGAAACGAUGCCCUGAGGAGUAGGCGGCCGCGGGGGCGGUGACGAAGCCCAGGGCGUGAGCCCGGGUCGAACCGCCCCUGGUGCAGAUCUUGGUGGUAGUAGCAAAUACUUCAAUGAGAACUUGAAGGACCGAAGUGGGGAAAGGUUCCAUGUGAACAGCGGUUGGACGUGGGUUAGCCGAUCCUAAGCCAUAGGGAAGUUCCGUUUCAAAGGGGCACUCGUGCCCCGCAUGGCGAAAGGGAAGCAGGUCAAUAUUCCUGCGCCUGGAUGCGGGUUUUUCGCGGCAACGCAACCGAACGCGGAGACGGCGGCGGGGGCCCCGGGCAGAGUUCUCUUUUCUUCUUAACGGUCUGCCACCCUGAAAACAGUUUGUCUGGAGAUAGGGUCCCAUGGCCGGAAGAGCCCAGCACCUCUGCUGGGUCCGGUGCGCCCCCGACGUCCCUUGAAAAUCCGCGGGAGGGAAUAAUUCUCGCGCCAGGUCGUACUCAUAACCGCAGCAGGUCUCCAAGGUGA
rnacentral:rRNA from 1 species